GUGGAGGCCGUUGCCGUGGGGAGGCUGCUGCCGGAGACCCUGUGUCGGCGCGGCUGCGCGGGCGCCUGCCUCGCUUGCGAGCUGCGGCUGUCCCUGCUUGCAGGCCGGCCUGAGGAGCCAGCAAGGGCCAGCUGUUUGCCACACGAGAAUGGGGCGGCAAGGGCAGGGCUGAAUGGUUUCCGCGGCCCGCCUUCCCUGUGGCCCAGAGGGCUUCGGGGCACACAGGCCUCCCUAAUGCGGGUUUUCCUGAAACUGAUGAAGAGUUAUCUGCUCUAGCAAAUGUGCCUGACUGUACGGCCAUGUCCUCAACAUCCUUUCUCUUUCUGCCAUCAACGCUUCAUGCAGCGUUGCUACAUAACAUAAAACAAGAAGGUGCCUUGUACAACUGCAGAGUCUUCACAAGCCUCACCAGACACAUCAGAGAUGCUUGGACAAAGUUUCCUUGAAGAAGACAAAAAAAAAAAGAAAAAGAAAGAAAAAGAAAAAGCACGAAAUCGAAUUAGGAUCAAAAGACUUGCAGCUACAACGCCAGUGAAAUUAGUAAGUUCAAUCAAUUAAGUACUUGCAACUCAUUUGGAUUUCAGAUCUGGUCUUGCAUCUUGAAACCAGAAAAGAAUUCAUAAAAGGCAGUUUAUGUAAAAAUGUGACCCUAAAAAUACACUUCCUCAUAAGCAGGAACCAAUAACAUGCUCCUGUACUUGACUUCAAAAUAUAGUGCAAUUUCAAAGAUUAUCAGCUCCAAAUGAUCCAAUAUCUUGCACCUAUAAGCACAGUUCUUGAGCUGGGAACCUAGAAUAUAGACUAUCAAAAUUAAAGUUCACUUCAGGAAAAGUUUUGGCUGUUUACUCCUAAAAGUGAUGCUCCUAAUCAGGAUCAUUGCAUUAAAUGAUUAUUGGCUCCCAUUACUUCAGUGACAGAGAAAAUUUUCUUGUGCUUUUUCCCAACUAUAAACUUCUCUGAACCAAGUUUCCAUGGCCAGCAGGAGGUAUUGACAUUUCACUAAAAAAAAUUAAUGCAAUGACUUUUGCUAUGACAAGACUUCGUCUGUUAAAUAAAUGCAUCCUGACAAAUGUCA
rnacentral:lncRNA from 1 species